UUUCUCUAUUGUAUCCGGCGGUGGGGAUAGCCUAGAGGAUAAAGCGUUCGUUCAUCACGGCGAAGACCCGAGUUCGAUUCCCCACAUGGGUACAAUGUGUGAAGCCCAUUUCUGGUGCCCCCCGCCGUGAUAUUGCUGGAUUAUUGCUAAAA